CCUAGGGCGGCAGCAGUGGGGAAUAUUGGACAAUGGGCGAAAGCCUGAUCCAGCCAUGCCGCGUGUGUGAAGAAGGCCUUCGGGUUGUAAAGCACUUUCAGUGGGGAAGAAAGCCUUGGGGCUAAUACCCUCGAGGAAGGACAUCACCCACAGAAGAAGCACCGGCUAACUCCGUGCCAGCAGCCGCGGUAAUACGGAGGGUGCGAGCGUUAAUCGGAAUUACUGGGCGUAAAGCGCGCGUAGGCGGUCUGAUAAGCCGGUUGUGAAAGCCCCGGGCUCAACCUGGGAACGGCAUCCGGAACUGUCAGGCUAGAGUACAGGAGAGGAAGGUAGAAUUCCCGGUGUAGCGGUGAAAUGCGUAGAGAUCGGGAGGAAUACCAGUGGCGAAGGCGGCCUUCUGGACUGACACUGACGCUGAGGUGCGAAAGCGUGGGUAGCAAACAGGAUUAGAUACCCCAGUAGUC
rnacentral:rRNA from 1 species